AAUAAUCUAUUACGUCAUCAAAAUGCGCUAUGUUGUUAUUCCAGCACGAGCCUUUUAACAGCUAUAAGAAAUAGGCUGAAUUAAAUACAUCUCGAAAUAGCUAAACGAAUCUAAUGAAUUUCUUUUGCUAAAUAGAGUUUCGAAAAACUCUGGUAUCUGCUCACAUAGUUUUAACUGGCUCGCAGGCAAGCUUGAACCGAAAACUCUGUUACAACCACAUUCUGCAAUUGUUAGCUAGCAAGCUACAAUAAAUUAGAGCUCCACAUAGCUUGCUAACUCGCUCAACUCGACCAUGUGCCAGGUUGAUGAGGAAUACAAUGGACAGCUAGAUCACAGAGUGACCCCACGUGUCUCCAAGAAGUGUGUCAAAUGCAAAGAAAAUACAACUGUAUUGAUCAUCCGAGCUGGAGAUGCAUUUUGCAGGGGCUGCUUCAAGGAGUACUUCAUACACAAGUUCCGGGCCAUGCUGGGAAAGAACCGGGUCAUUUUCCCUGGAGAGAAGGUUCUUCUUGCAGUGUCUGGAGGGCCAGCCUCUAGCUCCAUGCUGUCACAGGUUCAAGAGGGUUUGAGUCGAGACGCACCCAAGAAGUUGAGAUUUGUCCCCGGAAUUAUCUACAUAGAUGAGGGCGGUGCCAGUGGUCAAAGCAUGGAAGAGCGGAAGAGGGCAGUGGCUCAACUGGAGUCAGUUUUCAGAGCCACUAAUUACCAUUACCACAUAGUCCACCUGGAGCAGGUACUCAGUCUCCCCAGCUCCGUGCUAGAGGCAGGAUCCUCGGCAACGGGAAAACCUCCGACUGGGUCGAGUUAUAAAGCUGCUGUGGACCACUUAAUCCCGACCAGGAAGAACCAGAACCAGCACCCAGACCUCUCUGUGGAGAAUGCCCAGAGUCACCUGUCCAAUCUGAGCAUGCAGGAGGUCCAGAAUGGAGUAACCAGCCCCAUCACCCCUGAACACACCCAAGCCCUUAAGAGACUGUUUGCCUCUGUGAGGACGCCGACAGCCAAAGAGGAUUUGCUACAUACACUGAGGCAGCACCUGAUUCUCCACACAGCGAGGACGCAGGGCUACACCAAGGUGAUGAUGGGGGACAGCUGCUCCCGCCUGGCCAUCAAACUGCUCAGCAACAUCUCUCUGGGGCGAGGGGCAUCGCUGGCAACGGACACGGGCUUCUCAGAUCCUCGCCACGGAGACGUGGUCAUUGUCAGACCCAUGAGGGACUACUCCUCUAAAGAAAUAGCCUAUUACAACAGAAUGUUUGACAUCCCCUCGGUCUUCAUCCCUGGCCUGGACUCUAAGGCACAAGACAAGGCCAGCAUCCAGCGCUUGACAGAGAGCUUUGUCACCAAACUCCAGACGGACUUCCCCUCUACUGUCAGCACAAUCUACAGGACCAGUGAGAAGCUCCACACAGCAUGUCCCCCUCAGAAUACCAACACACAACUCUCUGCUAAGUGCCUACUGUGUGUCUGUGCCUUGGACACUAAACUAGAGGAGUUCUCUGCCUACCAGGCCACACUGAUCUCAGAGCAGCUGUCUCAGAGGCGGGGCCCAGGCCCUGAGUUCACCCCUGGUACAACAGCAGCUCCAGGGUCGCCUCCAGCCUCCUCGGCAGGCCAGGGACACUCCUCUGGAGGGGGCCAGAGUCAGGGGUGUGAGACUGGAGAUGGGGGCUGCUGCUCCUCUGCUAAGUCAGUAGGCAUUCAUGUCUCCUGUCCCCAAUGUAUACGUCUCCAAUGUUUGCAUUACUGUACAGCUGGAUUAUGUACACUGAGUGUACAAAACAAUAACACCUUCCUAAUAUUGCGUUGCACCCCUCCCCCUUUUGCCCUCAGAACAGCCUCACUUUGUCGGGGGCAUGGACUCUACAAGGUGUCGAAAGCGUUCCACAGGGAUGCUGGCCCAUGUUGACUCCAAUGCUUCCCACAGUUGUCAAGUUGCCUGGAUGUCCUUUGGGUGGUGGACCAUUCUUGAUCCACACGGGGAACUGUUCAGUUAGAACCCAGCAGCGGUGCAGUUCUUGACACCGUUGCGCCUGGCACCUACUACCAUACCCCGUUCAAAGGCACUGAAAUCUAGUCGUGCCCAUUCAGCCUUUGAAUGGCACACAUACACAACACAUGUCUAAAUUGUCUCAAGGCUUAAAAAUCCUUCUUUAACCUGUCUCCUCCCCUUCAUCUCCACUGAUUGAAGUGGAUUUAACAAGUGACACCAUUAAGGGUUCGUAGCUUUCACCUGUUCAGUCAGUCAGUCAUGGAAAGAGCAGGUGUUGUUCAUCUUUUGAACACUCUGUGUAUAUUCACGUGUUUACAUUUUAGGGUGAAGUGCCAAGCAACAGCUUGUACAAUAAGAGGCUGUGUUUAAUUUGGGAUGUUGAUCCUAUUGAAUGAAUAGAAUACUGUGUGUGUUCUUUCAGGGAGCCAGAGACAGUGGAUCUUAAAAGCCUGUUGUGUUACAGUUGUAGACUGACCAUCAAAGACAUGACUGCAUUAGAUGCCCUUCCCCAGUACAUACUGUCAGAGGCUGAGAGGAGAAG